ensembl:snRNA U7 U7 small nuclear RNA
UACAGCUCAGCUCUUUUAGAAUUUGUCUAGCAGAUGUCUUAGUCUUCACCAGGACACCCCC